UGGGGAAUUUUUGACAAUGGGGGAAACCCUGAUCCAGCCAUCCCGCGUGUGCGAUGAAGGCCUUCGGGUUGUAAAGCACUUUUGGCAGGAAAGAAACGUCAUGGGUUAAUACCCCGUGAAACUGACGGUACCUGCAGAAUAAGCACCGGCUAACUACGUGCCAGCAGCCGCGGUAAUACGUAGGGUGCAAGCGUUAAUCGGAAUUACUGGGCGUAAAGCGUGCGCAGGCGGUUCGGAAAGAAAGAUGUGAAAUCCCAGAGCUCAACUUUGGAACUGCAUUUGUAACUACCGGGCUAGAGUGUGUCGUAGGGAGGGGGAAUUCCGCGUGUAGCAGUGAAAUGCGUAGGUAUGCGGAGGAACACCGAUGGCGAAGGCAGCAUCCUGAGAUAACACUGCCGCUCAUGGACGAAAGCGUGGGGAGCAAACAGG
rnacentral:rRNA from 1 species